AACUGUCCAUCAAACUGUCACCUGACCAAUCGUUCCCAUGGUUCUUUUAGACUUCUCGUAUGAUAAAUUGAAAGGCACUAUUAUCUGCCUGUUGUGAAGAGGAACUGCUUAGGCUUUGAUAAGAUAUCACCAGUCCCAGGUGAGAGGAGGCUGACAGCACAUCAAGACAAGAAAACACAUGGAAACAGUGAACACAGGAGCAAAAGGUUUGUUUGACUACAAUCUGAUGUUCAUCUGAGUUAAGAUUGACAGCAAUCCUCCACACCCUAUGGACAAACCCUAUUCACUGGAGCAAGCAUUCAAAAAUCCACCAAAUAGAAUUUUAGUGGUGGUAAAUAUACCACCAAAACUAGUAAUAAAUUAAAUGCAAGGCAGAUUGCUUUUGUCUCCUUGGACAGGAUACUGCCUUGACUGACCUCAUAUUCAUCCUAUAACGUGGUCAGACAUCUCAAAACAGCUGGCACAUCCUGAUUUGGUAUCUCCAGUAUUUUUCCCAAUACUCCAUCAUGUGAAAACAUUUUUACUUUGACAGAUCUGUCUGGGUUUACAAAACUUUCUGGACUUCUGCAAGACCCUGUGUAUAGAUAGGAUGUGAAAACAGAGUACACAGAGUGUCAGCCUUAUCAUGGAGGUAGGCCAAAAAUCUUGCAAGAGAGAUGGUAACAUCACUGAAAAUGUAUGAGAAUAGGAACUGCCAUCCUAAGUAACCUAAACCCCUCCAUGCUACUACUUUUGAAAGGCUCUCUCCUUUUGGACCUUGGCCCUGCCUAUGUGUACAAGUAAGUGAAUGGAGGCAAAUGUAAUAGGACUACUCAUGCAUAAAGCUGGUCACAUGCAUUAACGCUGCCAGGAACAAGGACUUUCUUUUCAUACUUACACUAGAGGAUGGUAAAAGAAAUGCUGCUCAAAGAAAUCCAUCAACUAAUUCAAACUCUAAGCUAGCUACUUCAGAACCUCGUACAAUGGCCACACUCAAUGGGUCCAUUGAAGACCUGGAGACGAAGUAAAAACAGUUUUCUUUUUGAAGAACAUUACGGGAUCAAUAUAGUGCUGUGGAUAUUAGGAAAAGUCACUUUAAUAAAAAGGAAAUUGCACAUAAUGUAACAAAACAAUUGCUAUUUGGAAGCCCCUGAAGAAAUGGAACAAUGUAAUAUGAUAUUUCUUAACUUCAUUUCCCAUCCAUUGCAGAAAGCAUAACAAUAAAGUUUUCUACAUAAGCAACUUCAUGAGCUGAAAGAAGAGAAUGUAUAAUUCCUUUCCUUGGACUAAGCCAAAAGAAAUGAAGAAAAAAAUUGAUUCUUCUCUGUUAGCCUCCUGUGUAAAAUUUUUCUCCUUAUCAUCUCAUCUAGUCAUAUCUUUCUGCAGUUUGAAUUACCCUCUUUUCCUCAAUCUGAGUUCAAAAUGAUGUUUUGACAAGAUGACCUUGCACAGUUCACAACCACGGACAAAUUUAGAAAUAGUCACAAAUAGUUUGUUCCAUGUCCAGCUCAUGGCAACACUCCCAAAUAUUCUUUCAAGGAACUUCAAUAUACCAAUAUAUAAGCCUACAGAGAUUAAAAAAAUAAAUAUUGCAUAAGUAUAUUCAUUUCUGGAGCUGCAUUUUCAAAGCCUGUAAUUCUAAGAGUCAACUCAGUUUUGUUUCUUAUGUCAGUGGUUAUGACAUACAUGACUGCUGCAGGAAAUCAGUAUUUCUUUUAUUUUACCAUCAAAGAUGCAUGAAUUUCUUCUGAAGGACAAUUUCAUUCUCAUUAAUUUAGACUUAGAAAAUUCCCUUUACAGUGGGGCAUGAAAGUUAUCCAUUCAUGUGAUUGCUCUAUGCUCAGCACAGCAGUAUUUAAUCAAUUCCUAGAUACAACUAGAGCUGUAUCAGGAUACUCUUCGGAUAGCAUAAACCACAUUUUUCAUCUUUGUGCAUGGUUACAGAUAUACUGAUUAGGUAAAAUAUAUAUUCUUGUGCAAAAAGGCAUGUAUUAGAAAGUGAAAAGACAUGAACACGGAGAAGCCAGUAACUGCAGAUUUUGCCAGUAAUCCAAUGUCAUUCUCAAACUCUAAACGUGAUAUAACAACACUGUCUUCCUCUAUGGGCCAGAAAAAAAGAGAAAAAAAUCACAAGUUGUGAUUUCAGAGUUUCACCCAUGCAUGUGAAAGAAACUAAUGGUUGGUCAGAUAUAUCUAAUAUAUCACCCUGUCCAUGUGGCAGCUCAGCUAUGUUACAUAUUUGGUCUGUUAGGAAAAUAAAGCUCAGCAUUUUCCUCAGAAAAACUUUUUGUAAUAGCCAGAAGUAAUUAAAUAAAUGUCAUUAAAGAUAUCCUACCCGCCAAGAUUUACCUGUAUCAUGUAGCACAUUAGGAGAAAGGAGUAAAAGGCAAAUAAAUUACUGUUUAUAUGAUUUCCUGAAGAGAAAUAAUAACAUAUAUCCUUUCCUAGAGCACAAAAUAUUCCAGUCACUUGAAUCUUUAAUGGAAAACCCUGAACACAUGGAAGUGGGCUGCUGCUUCUCC